rnacentral:lncRNA from 1 species
GGGGCGGAGCUGCUGCCUUUAUGGCAGGGCAGCAGGGGGUGAAGUGGAGCCAGGACAGGUGGCCCGAAUGAGGCAAUUAGGCCAGCCAUGACCCAUCACACCGAAGGGCAUAAAGCUGUGGAGGAGUUGGCCGAGAGGUAACAAUGUGGAUCGUCUGCUGGUGAGCGGAGGGAGGUUUUGUCUUGCUGGUGGAGUGUCUAAUGGCUGCUGUGCAUUAGUCAGCAAGUGGUAACAGUGCCUGAGGAGAUACAUUAAGGGAAACAGAAGGCUCCUCUUCCUCAUCUCUAACGUGUUUGGCUGCAGACACCACAAGCUGAAAUUCUGAGUGACAAGCAUCAUUUCUAAGACCACAAUUUCACUUGGAAAAGUGGAGCAGAGUUGGAGGAGGAGAUGGAGGAAGAGAGAUUAAACAACUCAGAAAACAGAUGGAGAAAUGGAAUAGAAUCACUACUGUACCCUGAGAAGAGACUUGGAUGACAGCCAAAAGCCUUAUCUGGAUGAGGUCCUUAUUAAAUAUUCAAGAUCAAUAAAAUUAACAAACAAGAAACAACGCUGGCUUAUUGUCUGCUCUGAAUGACAGUGAAAAACAAUCUGAAAUUCACAAAAUAUUGUUGACCUUUCAGCAGUAAAUCCAAUAAAAGAGAAAGUGGGUCAAACUGAAGCCAUUUAAGGCGCAUCUUGAAGUUAAUCAGGAAACUUGACCUCCAUCUGUUCCUGAACGAACAAAAGUCUUGCAGAACCGAGUAGAAAAUUUAGAUUACACUGUAGGCACAGUUACCACAUAAAACCCUGCUGAAGACUGUUCCACACUUGUAACAGCUCAAAAGAAAAAAAAAAUGGUUGCAAAAUGAAAGGGAUAGCAAAGUCAAUGCUUCUUAUCCACAGCAAAUCAAAUUUAGGAAUGAAAUGCAGCAGAAAAUAUCCCAGUGAUCCACGAGAAUUAAAAGUCCUGCACACUGAUUCACACAAAAAAAUGUGAUGAAGGAUGCUACUCAAAGUUUGGUGCUCAAGCAAGAAGGUGACAGUCACUGUACCUGUGGGCAAGAGAACACAUCAACGGAGCCUUCCCAAAGGUCAGCCAAAGAGAUGGAUUUUGACACAGAUUUCCAAUACUCUGCAGGAAAAUGAAUAACGGACACACGUGAGAAUACUGCAAUAUCCUUCCUGCAUUUUCCAAGUUGUACUACAAAUGAGAUAAUAGACAGAAUGUUUUAGUGUUUUUAAAUGGAAAAAGAUAAUCCAUUAUAGUGCAAACAAUUCUGGUAAGUAAUAAAAAUAUUUUUCACAGAAAUGUAAGUGAUAUUAAAGGUAUGCCACUGAAAAACAAAGAUGACAAAUUAAAACUGCAGUGUUCACACAGAGUUUUCUGUGAGCAGCUGCUUGUUUGCAUAUAGAACUGAAGAAUACAUUUGUAGGUGCAAUCCAUUAUCUUUUUAUACUUCAAGUUUUCUAAUUUUCGUGAUUAACACCAGCUAAGACUUUCCCAAAGAAGACUGGAUUUAUGGAUUAAGGUUAUAGUAGUUACAGUACAGGGCAGAAGCAAAAUCACGACUGAUAAUUUUUACAAAAUCAAUUUCUCAUGUUUCAAGUCAUUUCUCAUGUUUCUGAGAGAUUUUCAUUUAUAAACAGACACAACUAUGCUUAGAUAUAGCAUGAACUCUAUCGUGCAUGGAACACAAUCUAAAAGAAAAUCAGCUAGUGGUUUUUUAUUGUCUUUUGCUCACCACCUUCCUUGAAAAAGAAAAGUUCAGUGGCUGUCCUUACAGAACAAGACUGAUGAAUUAGAAAGUCAUCAACCUAUCUGUCCAUGUAAGGACACAAAAAAAAUGCAAAAUCUUGUUGCUUUAUGCGCAAUGCUGUUACAGUAGUUUGGCAAAACACCCCAAAGACCUCAGUCACAACAGCUGAUGCUCCUUUAAGCCAUCAAUAACCUGCCAUACGUACACUAACAAAUAACAAUAUUAGAAAUAAGAAUAUGCAUUAAGUCAGGAUUUUUACUGCCUUGUUGCAGGUGCAAAGACAGAAGUCUAGAGCUGUGAGACCAGCUGCCAGAUCUGGUGGCUGAGCUGAGAACAGACUCCAGGUGGGUGCUUUGCCACCGGAGUUGCAGGAAUCCAGCUGCAACAGCUCUGCUCUCACAGCAGAGGAAUGGGUGAGAUUUAGAAAGGCCCGUAGGUCCCUCUUUCUUCUGAUUAAUUCCAUUUAAAUACCAACAGAGGUUGGCUGUCUUUUGAAAGGUAACCACGAGAAAAAACCAGAGAGGAGUCUAUGUCAAAACUGUUUUGAAAUAUUCUUGACCUCUGAAAGUGAGACACAAAUUCAAACAGUGGUUGAAGCCACAUCUGCUUAGCAAAAAUUCAUGAAAGGAACAAGCCUUCUGUCUGAAGAAACUAUUUUUGGUUUCUGGUGACAGCUUUGACAGACUUUCUCAAAUAAGCUUGUAUCAAUUUAAAGCACACUUGGUCUCAUUCCAAGGAAACUGUGGCAAAUGUGGUGGGCUUCCUAGGAAGAGUAUGAUUAGAAAAGGUUGCAAAUGGUAUGUGAAUUUAACAACUGCUAGCAGGGUUGUCCCUCCUUAGUGUGUAUGUCUCCACAGGAUAAAGGCCUCUUGAAAAGUAUGCAAGAUAGUUUUAAUCCCAUUAGUACAACCAAGGAUGUACUGUUAUUAGAUAACAUUUUUUAGGCAUAUGGUUAGCAAGGCUGAUUAUCCGCUUCUACACAGGCAAAACACAUUCCAACAACAUAAAAUUGUGACCAAGCAGCAUGCAGUCUGGCCAAACUACAACUACUUCUAAACUACUUCUGCUAAGAUCCCACCGACAUUAAAAUUUACAAGUAACGUCAGGAAAAAUAUUCCUAAAAAUCCUAUCACCUUCUUCCUGUCACAGCAUUUUCAGUGCUUUUCAAAUGAAAUAACAUAAUGAAGAUACUACACCAGUUGAUUUUGAGGACCCAAGAAAAAAAGUCAGAGCUAUGGUCUGUACGACUUGAUUUUCUCAGGUCAUUUUAUUAUAGAAUUAAUUUCUUAUAUCCAAAUGAAAUUUAGUUCAGAAGAAAUUCUCAUAGGGCAUGUGUACUAUACACUUGUUUGCCAUAGAUUUUCCAGGUGAAUAGGUUGAAAAGGUUGUAAAUGUGUAAAAAUAAUGUAAGUAUUAACAAGCUUUAUACAUCACAUGCGUAAAAUAGGUUAAAAUUAUUCAUAUGACAAAGCUAUUUUUUUAAAAAGUAAUAAAUGGCCCUAUACAUUAACAUUUCACUUACAAGUUAACACAGUUUUUUCUUCCCACAUCUUUUAGCUGUAGAAUAGUCCUGUUUCCUUCUCUUGGGUGGAAGGAAUUCAAAGGCAAAAGAGUCUUAUGAAAAGCUCCAUGAGUCAUUAUUUGUCAAGAAAGAAGAUGCACAGGGGAAGAGCCAGAAAGGUUGAGGACAGCAAAGAUAGUCCAAUAGCUGAGUUACAUGCUUCCCAGGACAAAUGGAUUCUGUCUCUAAUUCUGCCAAAGAAUUGCCAGGUAAAACUUGCACCCAAGUACUAAGGCUCAUGUGAGAUGUUGCUGCUGACACUGAAAUGCCUAUGUCAGGCCCAAAUCUUUCCUACGUCCCCCAUUUUGCCACCAUUUUCUGUACAAAUGGGAGCCACAGGAAGCUUGGAGCAGGUGUCACACCACCAAACAUGCAGAAUGGAAAUAAUUUGUUAGGAAAAGCUGAAGAAAGGAGUCUGUCUGAAAUUCUUUCCUUUCUGGAUAAGACAGCUCCCUGAGAUGAGAAUUCAAAGGCCAGAACCAUAUUCCAUCGCUUAGUUUAUCCAGCUCUGCAUAGAUGCCAGUUCUACAGGGUAGUGCUCCUGUUCCCUGAAAUGAUGACUAGAAUACUCACUCAAAAUUCACAUACUUUAUAGUCUUUUCUCAGCUUCAAACAUAUAUUAAUUACUUAGGAGAGAAGAACAGCCUACCUCUGGAUUGAAAAAUAAGUAGAAAUUUAUAGAAUCAUAGAAUCGCUAAGGUUGGAAAAGACCCACAGGAUCAUCCAGUCCAACCAUUCGCCCUUCACCAAUGGUUCUCGCUAAACCAUAUCCCUCAACACAAUAUAACAAAUUAUAUAUAACCAAUAUAUGCCUGGCUUGUCAGUCCCAUCAAUGACAUUUCUUCCCUGCAACUCAGUUCUAACCUUCAUUUGCUUUGCUCUUUAUCUGCCACUUUCUUGGCAUUGUCUCAGUAUCUUGCUUAGUCAACUUUAGGUUCCAGGUGUCAUCUCAGUUCAUUCCCAAAUUCCAUUCAAUAAUUCAUAGGACCAGACUUCUUGGCUAGCUACCACACAGGCAUCACUACCUGCUAAAACGUCACCAGCCUCUGCUUCCAAUGCAUCUCUUAAGCUCCUUCAGAUUAGCUGUCCCUUCUCCUUUUAAAAUAUACAUCUUCCUGCUCUACCACAUCUGGGCAAAGUGAGAGGGAUUUAAAAAAGAGACCCUCUUAGUUCUCAUGAACAAACAGUUCCUAACUAUUUUGAUACACUAUGGGUAUUUUUUGGUAAUAUUUUAAAAAUUUUAGCAGCCUGAAAUUCCCUUUUUUGUGGCUUUGAAGCAUUUUUUUAGCUUAUAUAUGUAUAUUUUGAAUUGGGGGAUGUGGGAAGAGGAGAAUGUGUUAACAUCUUCCCAGAAGUUUCUUAAUCAUUCUGAGCACAGAAGUGAGUCAAAGCCAGAAACUAAUAGGAAAUGAAUACAAUUAAUGCUGCAACUUUUCUAAAAUAAACAUAUCAAAACAAUGAAAUUCAAUGCCUUCUGACAAGCUAAGUGUGUAUUUCUUUGCUUAUGUCUUUGAAUAGCAGUUAUUGUGAAGCAACCAUACAGUCAGCCUCCAAAUGAGGCAUACGGUGAUAGAAUUCAGGGAAAUGAGUACCUGGGAAAAUCCACAUUUCUCAGUAAUUACAGAGCAUCACUACAUCUGUGGUGGCUGUCUAGUUUUCUAUCAUGAACACAGAGGAAUUACAUUAUGUGGAGAAGGAAAGUGCAAUUAUUUACGCUAGGUGUAUUCAAAAUUAACACGUAAUGUGUUGUCUUGCUAUGUAUUUUUCACAACUCAAAGUUCAUGGUGGAGACCCCUUCCUUACAUAAAAUUUAAGUGAUCUACAGAAAGGAAAAAGUCGGUAAGGACAGAGUAGUGCUACACACAGCAGUAAUUUUAAGAAACAAACAUAUGCCUCCUCUGCUAUUUCACUUGCCUCAACUGCUUCCAAGUCAGGUUGAGGGAAACAGCCUGCAAGAUAGGGCCUGCCUUGUAUUGAACAGUAUUUCUAGAGGCAUGUCUUCCUAACUCUUUCAUCCUUCAAUGACCUGAAACACACUGCAAUAAAGUUUUGCUUCUGGGUAUUCAUCUCAAAUUGAGAUUCUAGCAUUAGUUUACACAUCGCAAAUGACAUUACAGGAAAUGUAAAACAUUCUGCAGUUUAAUCUUUUAAGUGUUCUCAAAAGGAAAACAGUUCAAUGGAUAUUUGUUUAACAUCUGGCAUGUUUGAUCUUCCUGAGAAAUUGUCACGUGAAACAAUCUAUUACAGAACCUUUUUAUUUUUAAUCUUACACUGAUUACCUGCUAUUGGGCACUCCUUGAAACAGAACAUUAGAUUAGAGAUCAAACAAUGUUUUACAUGUACAGAAUUUGAUUAACGAAUUAAUGCAAUUCUGUUAUUCAACAGCAAAAAGUGGACUAUUCAUAAAUGGAAGCAGAGUAGCAAAGAAAUCUCAGUCAAAUGAGAUAAAAUAAAUUUUCAGUACGAAGAUUGGAUGAAAACCAUUUUUACCUGCUUCAGUGGCACUACACUUCUAAACAGGGAACAGUUUCCAUUUUAUGACCUAUUUACAUAACACUGUUAUCUCAUAAGCUGUAUGCUUUUUACUGCACUACUGAGUAAAAAGUUACAGAAAACUCAAUUGUGACAGCACUGAAUUAUGCUUAUAAACACUGAAAUGCAGCUACACAUCAAAAGGAAGAAAAUGAAUGGUUAAACAAUCUGAAUAGUUCAGGAAACAGAUUUUUCAUCUUUGGAUUGAUUGAGUUAAUGUAGUCAUUUAAGAGAGGCAUAUGCAUAGGCACUGUGCAAACUGUUGUUAGACAGACUAUAUAACAUGAAAAUAAUUAUCAUACAUGCACACAGCAAGUAGUUCCAUGUGUUCUUGGAAGUGAUGCAUCUUCUUGUGUAGUUAGACAAACAGACAGAUUUCAGGCUAUUUGUGAGCAUUCAAAUGACCAAAUUUAUGGUUGUGACUAUUCUAAGAAAAGAUUUUCUAUUUUUACCACAAGGAAGCAUAUUCACAAGCUUUUGUGUUCUGUGGCUGAUUAUGUAAAGGUUGCUCUGAAAGUAAUGUCACCUGUUUUAUUAUGUUGAACCACAACAUCAGAGGUGGAUGUCGGUGGUAUGGCAAUAGAGGUUGAAUCUUCCCACCAAUAUUCCAUUGCAUUUUGUUGCUGCGUGACAGAUGGCAGCAGAGGGGCAGUCUGACAGAACGGCAUCUGACAUAGAAGUGCAUAUGAAGCAAAGGUGUGUCACUGAAUUCCUCUGUGUGGAAAAAACAGCACCCACUGACAUUCUUCAAUGUUUGGUGAACCUUUGUGGAGACCAAAGAGCAAAUGUGAGCACAGUGAGGUGGUGGGUAGUGCAUUUCAGCAGUGGCAACAGUGAUGUGAAAGACAAACCACAUUCUGGACAGCCAUGCACUGCAGUAACACCACAAAAUGAAAGUCUUGGUGAGCUCAUCCAUGAGAACUGGCAGAUUACAACCAGAGAACUACGUAUGAAGUUGAAUAUCAGCUUCAGUGCAUUAGAAACAACAAUGGCAACAUUGGAAUAUCACAAAGUUUGUACCAGGUUCCACAAAUGCUCACAUAGGAACAGAAAGAAGUUUGCAAGUUUGCCGGAAUCUACUGAACAAAUAUGAGGCUGAAGGUGACAGGUUCCUGUGAAAGUGAAACCAUUAACUCUGACCACUCAUCACAACUUAGUCAGCCGAUGGCUCAAACUUCCAGAGUCAGGCCAGAGAAGAAGAAAGCCUUUCUCCUGCAAUAUUAUAACACCAGGCUCCAUAUCAGUUUGAAGACCAUGGAAGACCUUGCCCAUCUUGGCUGGACUGUCCCACCACACCCAUUGCACAGUCUGGAUUUGAUGCCUUCUGAUUUCUACCUGGUAAUCAUGCUGUCAUAGCACCUGUGAAACAGUGGGUCACCUCCACUGAUGCAGAUUUUUAUGAGCAUGGCAUGCUGGCUCUUGAUCUUCGGUGGUGAAAAUACACAGUUAAUGGUGGUGACUAUGUUGAAAAACAGUAUUUUGUAGCUGAGAAUUUGCUCAGUCAAACAAUGUUAUUGUGCUCUUUGUUGUAGUUUCCAUGGAAAAAAUAGGAAGCAUUACUUUCAGAGCAACAUAGGCACAUUAAAUCAAUGCAAAAUCCAUUAAAUUUCUAGAUCAUCUUGCAAUUGCAAUAGCAAGAAUGUCAUCAAUAAAUAUUCCAAGGAAAUAAAAUAUGUAUUUUUUAAUGUAUUCACAGUCUCUUGAGGAAUUGUACUGCAUACCUGCAGCAUUGGAACUGGCACUAUAUGCAUUCCUUAGUUAUACUGGCUAUUUCACUAGAGCAUACUUGGAAAUGGCCAGCAAUUAGACUUUAGGCACAUCUCUGCACAUCAUAUGGUAUUUCCAACAACAUGGCAUUAAAAAAAAAAAAACAAAAAAAAAACCCCCCCACACAAAAAAACCACCACGUUGUAUUGUGGUCCCAGUAAGGAAUCUGUUAUAACGCUUGAACUUCAUUAUACCAAGUGGUCCAGCAGCGUCUGUCAAGUGAUGGCCAGACGCUACAGCAGACUUAUUGAUUUCGUGGACUCUCCUCAUCCGUUAUUUAAUCUCCCAGUAUACACUCCCUGGACAGUAGUUGCUGCUGCUAUUUAAAUUGAGACUCUUUUGGUCUGAAAGUAGCACUUCUACCUGACAUAAAAGAAAUCCUCCCUUCUGAAUGAAUCGGUAGGAUCUGUGUUAAGUGAAAGCUUGUCUCAUCUGACAGCUUCUUACUGAAUAUCAUGCCAGUACCUCCCAGAAAAACAUAGAAAGACUCUGGCAAAGAAGUGAGACUGAGAAGAGGGUUCUUUGUUCCUUGAACUGCUGUACAGUUGGACAGUGAAGAUAUAAAGACAUCUGUAGUCACUGAAGGCUAGCAUUUCCUCUGGCAUUACUGGUUUGACAAAUGAAGGGAAAACAAACACCCUGACCAUAGGAGCAGAAUGGCAGAAUCAUUGCAAAUCCAGAAGCAGACAACACUAAUAAACAAGUGAAAGUAAGCUUUCAGUGUUAUCCAAAGCAGCAUCCGACUGAGGAUCUGGAUCAAAACCUUCUCUGGAGAUUUAUGUAGGACAAAGAGCUUUUCUGUUCUUUCUUUGGGCACCUGAUGCUAAAUCCAGAUGGCUGACUCCUGGUAUUGGACAGAGUGACUGCCCUCUCAUUUGUUGAGAAAAUAUUUUCCCUCAGCCAAACGUAAGCCAAUUUUGGUAUUAUUGAACACAGAUCUAGGGAGCAAGCAGCCACAGUACUUUUUCAACUUAUUCAUCUAAGUGAAUAAGUUAAGAAAAUAAAGCCAGGAAAUUUUCCUCUGUCUAAUCAACAGACAGGCAAGAUAGCCAAAUGGUUUUAAAAAAGAUUAAAUCUAUGCCCAUAUUAAAUAGUUAAUCUCUUUUAAAGCUUUCCCUUUCCUUUCCUCUUCCCUCUUUCCUUUCUCCUUUCCUCUCUAUAUUUUUUUCUGCAUUAAGGAUGCUGUGUUGUCUGCACUUUUUAUAUAAUGAUGACAUGGAAUGAUUAUCCUUAUCUGUAUCACUUAAGAACAAUUCUCCUUUAAUUAAGAAGAUAAGCACUAGUGUUACAUCAUCCAUUCUACGUUAAGUGGAAUCCUGUAAAGUAAUUGUAAGAAGAUAUACUUUUUAACUUUGCUCAAGACAAUGAAAAAAACAAAGACUGGAUGUAGUUCCCUCCCCCAAGUAAUGCUUAGUUUAUACAUGACCAACACUGCCUAAUCCUACAUCCCACAGACUAACAGUUAAAAGACUGAAAAGAUUAAAACCCCCAGCUAUGCAAAGCCAGAAAACUUAGGCAACUAAUGUGUAUUUGGAAGAAAAACUCUGCCUUGGCUUCAAGUAAGGGUGGCGGAAAUAUACCCUGCUUCACCAUCCUGCUCAUUCAGCCUGUGAGAGACAAAGCUGCUUCUGCAGCACAGUGGGGUGGGUUUGAUGUGUUGCAGCAGGCCCAUGCAGCUGGCAGGGUGAGGUGUGUCACUGGGACACGGCCAGCUCAGAGAGCUGUAUGGUCUAAGGCUCCCCAGAUCAGAGCACAGUGAUUUUGUGCACAGUUACCCACACCCUUCUACAGCCAGUGCAAGGGUAGGAGACAGAAUGUAGCAGAAUGAGGGGUUACUGCAGGAGAACAAGCCUAGCUACCACCUUUGGGCCUCAGCUGCUCCCUGUCAGGCAGCUGUGUGUCAGGCCCUUCCUGGCCAACAGUUGUACAGCCUGCAGCCCUUGGUGUGUCAACAUGAAUGGUGGAGAUGUCCCUGGUUAGAUCCCCACAGCAUGAAAAAGCAUGUGAAGCUUUGCAAUUAUCUUUACUUUGCCUUUGUGUUGCUGCAAACAACAAUCGUUGUGGAGAUAAAUGGAUACAAACAAGACUGACAGGAUGUGCCAGUGAGAGGGACAGGCACAAAAUUCCCUACCCAUUGCCUCUUUGCCUGCUGGUCUUCAGAAAUACUUUAAAUUGUAUGUUUCAAAUGGAGCUAAAUACUGACAUUUCAGUAUGACAUUUUGUGAGGAACAGAAGUGGCUUUUUUAAGCAGAUACUGGAUGUGAAAACUGGCAAUCCAGCUAAAACCUCAGAAUCCUAUGCCCUCAUCAGCUAAACAACUAAGUCAGGAUAUCCAGAACUUUCAGAAAAUAAUGUAUUGCCAAAAAAUCCUAAGUACUUCUGCAAUAUUGUUAUCAAUGCUAUGAUGUUAGGUUUGUACAUCAAUAACUAAAGCCACCAUUACAGGUUGUUACUGGGCCGUUGUUAUCAAAGGAAAUAUGAAGACUUGAAAAUUAAUCCCAAAUGAAUGAAUUCUUUUAUUUGAAAACAAAAUCCAAAUCAAACAUCCAAAUGUUUGAGUCCCAAAUGUUUGAGUCCCAGAUAUUUCCUAAGAUACAUUGCCUCCAAGUGUUGGAAGUUUUAAUUAAAACUUGGUUUACAGGAUGAACCCUGAUUCUCAGAACUGCUGGCUAUCACUGAGUGACUGAUAGAGUAAAGAAAGUUUGAGAAAUUACCUGGACACAGAGUUUUUAAUAUUGCUAUGAUGAAAAUGAAUUUGCCAAAUAACCAUAUUUGGGAAUAUUGUUAAAAAUGCCUAAGAAUGUUAACAAAACUAUUGGAAUAUUAGGUCAAAGCUAAAAAAAAUAAAAGAACAUCCACUGGAAUUAGUACAAAGAACCACACCAGGUGACUAACUGAGCACUUCUGUAUCAGUUACAGCCAUGUCACAUUCUUCAAAGUUUUUCUUUAAAAUAUAAGGGCUUAAAACUAGAUGCUUUGGGGGAUGUUUUUUUUUUUUUUUUUCUUUUUCACAGAAGGAAUAAUUUCUAAAAUAUACACCUAAUGUCAGAUAAUGUUAACAUAAGUCACCUAUGAAAAAAUUAUAAACAACCUGACUACAACAACUCAAUAGUAAUUUCUUAAAGCGGCUGGCAGUCUUCACUGAUUCCUUCCAUUCUCUUCCUCACCAGCUCUGCUGUAGGCUGUCUCUGCAAGCACUGCAGGACUCCUUUGAGGACUAUCAAUGUGUUGGGCUUGUUGCAGUCUCAGCAGACUGCUGCCAAAACCCAUACUGCCAUUGGCGUGGCUCCCAAAGGGUUUGCACGCUUCAAAUAAUAAAGAUCUUUACAUGCAGUUUACAUUAGGAGGUAUCUGAGCAUUUGAUUAAAAAUUAAGACAUUCUUGAGUCUCUAAAGUCACUCCUAUUAGCACCAUCAAAUAGUUUCAGCCCUUUGCACUGCUACUGGGAGCUGCUCCUCUAUCUGGACCCCACAGCCUCCAGUCUACCUCUGCUUUGCCCAGUCUUUUCUUGUCAGACAGCUCAACUGGAGGAGUCUGCAUGGCUCUCCUACUUUGGCUACCACCAGAACACAGCACAGGGUUUUUUUUCUUUCCCCUUCAGUUCUGUGGAGGUAGGGAAGUCCUCUGCUUGGUGGGUAUUGAACCAGUAAGACUGAACAGUUAUGCUGCCAGCAUAUAAAAUUAUACUGUAGACUGCAUCAAUUUUGCUCACAUUUGAAAAGACAAAAGUAAAACAUCUGCUUUUACAGGACAAGACAUCAUUUUCGCUUCUUCCCUUCAAAAGAUUACAAAUGUACAAACAAAAAAAAUGGCAAAGUGAAAAAAAAAUCAGAAGAAUUGAAAUCAAAUAUAUUGGAACUAUUUGUUUAACACACACACACAAGAAGCUGAAAUUUGUUCUUCUUUUCUCCUUCUUUGAAAGGCAGCAAAAUAUUAAAAACAGGAUUCCCUACUCUAUUGAAGUUCAGUGUUUCCUACAGACCUAAGAGCUUACAACACCAUGAAGCGAGCAGUCUAUCAGAAGGGCUGUUUGCUCUUUGGUAUGUCACCAUUUGGACAGAGGACAGGAGAUUAGGUGUAACUGUGGCUCGAUCUGCUUUGCUUGCCAAGUAAUUUUAAGUACCAGCAAUAUCAAACCCAUGUAAUGUCUGGCCUUCUACAGAUGAGCCAAAUGAGAGAUGAUAUCUCUGAAGGCACAUGAGCAGCUCAUUGCUAUGGAAUGGAAUGGAAGCCAACUAAUGUGACACCUCACCUCUAACAUAACAUCAAGAAGUUGAAGAGCAGCCAAUGAGCAGGCACAUUCAUCUACAUGAAUAUAUUUUCAUAAAUUUGUUCUUCCUUGUUUUGACAAGAUUUUAAAAAUAUAUGCAUUAAAAAUAAUCACAAAAAUUAUGUCAGAAUUUCUGUACUCUACUUUCAAUAUAGUGUCAUUCACGGGUAUUAUACAGCAAAUUUCAUAAUGACUAGGAAUAUUUACUCCUAGGAAUGCCUGAGCAUAGUUGUAUAGCAAUAAGUGUCUGAGAAGAAUUGUAUAAAACGUUUGCAAGGAUAUGAAUUCUGAAAAGCUCUAUAAAUACAUUCAUUUGCUCUACUUUUCAAAUAAAAUACUUUUCUCUCCUUCCUACUCUCAUGUAUAGCAGUAUAAAAAAUUUCCCACUUCCAUGAGAAAAAUUUUUCUUGUAGUUUCCUCUGUUCUCAUCAAAAAGCCUAGCAAAAGUAUAAAAAAAUUAAUAAAAGGAAAGAAAGAGUACCUCAGUUAUCCCAAAAGCAAGUCUGAAACUCCUACUCCGAGUUUUUGUGCUGUCAAAUUACAGCACUAAAUGCUGCCAUGUUGGGAAUCUUUAAAAGCAAAAGGCUGAAGUUUUAGUUUGUGAGAAGAAGACAGGGAGGGAAAAGACAGGGAGAACAAAGAGAGGAAAGAAUUCUAGUGUACAGUAAUCCAGAAAAACAAUUGAAUUUGCUGCAGAAUGUGCAUGAAUCAGAUUAAGGUAUUCUUGUUCUAUAGCUCCCUUUUCUAUGGUCUGAUUUAAUACUUUCUUUAAAAAUCAACCUUAAUUAAAAACUCCGACCAGAAUAAAAAAGAAUUCUAACUGAGAUUCAGUGUUUCAGAACUGUCUGUGGUUUGUUGGUCUCCCAUAUAUGAAAAAAAUAACCAGGAAAUAAUGAGAACGUGUGUAUUUUAUAUCGUAACAGGAAAAAAAAAUAGUGAAUGUCUACAGACAUCAUUAACCUGGCUCUAAACAUCAUGUAUUGUCUCGUAAGACUUUAGGUAGAUUUUUACAGAUAUC